rnacentral:rRNA from 1 species
UACGAAGGGUGCAAGCGUUACUCGGAAUUACUGGGCGUAAAGCGUGCGUAGGUGGUUGUUUAAGUCUGUUGUGAAAGCCCUGGGCUCAACCUGGGAAUUGCAGUGGAUACUGGGCGACUAGAGUGUGGUAGAGGGUAGUGGAAUUCCCGGUGUAGCAGUGAAAUGCGUAGAGAUCGGGAGGAACAUCCAUGGCGAAGGCAGCUACCUGGGCCAACACUGACACUGAGGCACGAAAGCGUGGGGAGCAAACAGG